GGGCACAUGGUGUAGUUGGUUAUCACGCUCGCUUAGCAUCGCUUCGAUUUCUGAUCACGUGACUGCGAGAGGUGUUGGGUUCAAUUCCCAAUGUGUCCA